rnacentral:lncRNA from 1 species
GUACCCUCCUCAUCUCUCACUUCCUUAGUCUCGAGACUCUUGACAAUUCCACCCCGAGGGCACACUCAGAAAACGAAACUUGACACCAGAAGCCCGUCACAAACCCUAAAAAAAUGUCGGGCGGCUUUUUCCGGGUAGGAAUCUCCCUUUAAUUUGUUUGGCUAUCCGCUAUUUAAAGUUUUUUGUCCGAAUCGAAUUGCUUUUUUGUGAAUUAAAAUUUGUGCGGGUUUCGUGAAUUUAGAUCUUCCUUCUUUUAGAACCUGAUUAUUAUAAUUUUAAUUUCAAUUAGGGCACAUCGGCUGAUCAGGAUACAAGGUUCUCGAACAAGCAAGCAAAACUGCUCAAAUCUCAGAAAUUCGCUCCUGAAUUGGAACACACGGUUCGUCUUUGCAAUUUUUCCAUUUAUGUAUGCUUAUUAUUUAUGAUUAUGAUUGUAUUAUUAUUUAUUAUUUUUUUGUUUAUUUUCUGUAUGAAAAUGUACUUAGGUGGACAUGUUGAAAAGUUAAGAUGGAUAUCAUGAGUUGAAGGGGUUGCCACACUGAUUUUUAUUUUUACUUUUUAAUUUUAUAUUCGGUUUCUUCUGAAUUUUUGAAAUUUUUUCCUUUUUUGUUGGGGUGGGGAGUGGGUGGGUGGGACAUAUAUUGAAUAAUGUUGAAUUUUUUUAUGAAAGUCAAAUGUGUUUCUAGGUGGACAUGGCUAAAGUGAAGAUGGAUGUUAUGAAACCGUGGAUUGCAAAGCGCGUGACUGAGCUUAUUGGAUUUGAAGAUGAAGUUCUUAUUAAUUUCAUUUAUGGUCUACUUGAGGGAAAGGUAUCUCAAAACACUGACUUGUAUUGUUUACUUGUGUGAUUGUCAGUUAGCUGAUUUUAAUUGUUUGAUGAUUGAUUUAUUAUAAAUGUGAGUUAUUGAGCUUUGAGAAUGCAGAACUAUUUUUGACUUCUUAAUAUUAAAAAUUUAUAUCUACUCUAAACAUUUGACGGUGGUUAUGUUUUAAUAGGCAAGUGAGGCCAUUAAACUGUUAAGUUAAUUUUAGAGAAUGCUUCUGCUUUGGAUAACUGUUGGUGUGGAUAUGAUUGGGUGCAGGAAGUUAAUGGGAAGGCGGUUCAAAUUCAACUUACUGGUUUCAUGGAGAGAAACACUGGGAAGUUUAUGAAAGAGCUUUGGUCACUACUUCUGAGUGCACAGAAAAAUGUGAGUGGUGUUCCACAGCAGUUUCUGGAUGCUAAAGAGGAGGAAACUAAGAACAAGAAGGUCUACUCACGCUUCCUUAAGUUUUUGGAUCUUCUAUAUCUGUGGUGUGUCUUUGUUUAAUAAUAUGUCCAUGGGGUGUUACAGGCAGAGACUGAUCGUAUCGCAAAUGAAAUUCAAAGGAAGAAAGAGAAGGAAAAGCAGGAUCUUGAGCAAGAGAUAGAUAAAAUGGUAAUUGAAAACCCUUUUUUAUGCAAAAGUUAGAUUAUAUAGAUCUCAAAUUUUGUUCCUUACUUCCUUUCAUGUUUCAUUUUGUUCAGCUUGCUUCUGUUUCUGCAAUUUUUUUGGUCAUGUCCUUUACUUCAAACUGCUGUAGGAUGGUGAUGGUGACAUCUCAAGAUACAAGAAUGCUGGCUCAGACCUAAAUUCAAAACACGAUUCGAGGUCUUCCAGCCCCCGAUUGGCAGAUGGGAAAGAGCAUCGUGAGAGAAAUGGCCUGAGAGGACGAAGCAGGUAGGAAUUAACUGGAUUUACUAAUUACUCAAAAAUUUUAAGGUACUCAAUUGGCAGGGGUUUGAUUUUAUUUUUUGGAAUGUCUUAAACUCUAAACGGAACAAAACUUAGACCACAUCUUGAUUUGCAUGUACUCCUAAUUUUCUACUGCUUAAUUUUUUGCUCUUAGGCUUUGUGUAAAUGAUAGGAAAAUCUUAUACAGGAUAAUAUUUCCCAAGAUAAAUGAGUGGACAAAAUGGAUGACUCAAGGAUAUGGAUGGAAGUGAGGUCUUGUAAACUAUCUUGGAGCUCAUAGCAAUUUGAACGAGAAUGUUAUGAAGUUGGACAGUUUUGGGUUAAUUUUUUAUGCCAGAAAUGGUUUUCUACGUAAAUAUUCUUAGAACUAGAAAGAGUAAAAAACAUGGAGAUUACUAGAGGAGGAUGAGAGAGUUUUGCUCAUUCGAGGGUAGGUCAAAAUCAUGCAUUUAAUUUCAAACUCUGUGCAUCAAGUCUACUGACAUGAAGAAAUUUUCCCACUUCAAUAAGGAUUUGGACAAAUUGGAGUAAUUUAAAAGUCUGGAGACUAUGAUCGCUUGAAAUUGGGACUAACCUAGAGUCUUGGAUUCUUAUGAAUUGCAACUUCUAAAUAUUAUUUUAAUUUUCUAGAUCAAUUAGGACUUAUGCAAUGUAAAAAGGGAUAAAUUCCAUUCGCUGUAACUAUGCUUUCGCUUUAUGUCAAUUAGGUGACUUUAGGAGUGGCGUGUGGUUUGGCUCAGUUCGAUCUUAAAGGGAAUCUAACCAAACUAAUUACCAAUGUGAAUUUUACAAAUGGAAUUAUUGGUUCCUUAUGUAUCGAACUGGAAAUGGACAAAUUGUUUCCUAUUUCUUUCGGUACUUUAUACUUAAAAUAAUGAAAAUAGAUUAUGAAAUCAAUUGUCAUUCCUAUAAUCUAACAAACAAAAAAUCAAUGAAUAGCAAGUCACUAAUAUAUUCCACAUGCUUUUUUAUUAGAGGUACUAGCUAGAAUAUUUAAAUUAUACAUAUUGUCCAAUGAUUAAAAUAACACCAAGUAUGUAAGUUUAAAAAAUAAAAAUUAAAAAAAUGCCAUUAAUCAAGAAUUACCACUAAUUUUGCUUUCCAGUUUCAAAUUCUCACUAAAUUUGCUUUAAAAUUGCCAAUUCACAAGUGAACAAUGUAAUAUGGAGUCAAAUUUGAAUAAUAAGUUAACUAAAUAUCAAAUCCCAAAUUUUAGUAGAAUUAACAAUCUACCAUAAUAAAAUUUAACUUAAGAACUCUUCAAUGUCUUCAACUUACAAAAUUUUAGUAGAAUUAACAAUCAACUGUAAUAAAAUUAAACUUAAGAAGUCUUCAAUGUCUUCAACUUAGCCCUUGUUUGACACCCAUUAAAAUUCAAAUACAUUUUUUACUCUUUUUUUCAACCAUACAUUUUUCAAUAAAAUAAUAUUACACGUAAAUUAAAAAAAAAAAAAAAUCUUUUUUAAUCACACAUCCUCCCAAAAAUACUAUUUUAUCAUACAUUUUACCAAAUUUUCUCUUUAUAAUGUGUCAAACAAGGGCUUAUCUGCAUCAAUCCUUUUAAAGAGUGAGUCCACCCCUUGCAUUGAUUUUAAAAUAUAAAAAUUAAAUGUUAAUAUAUGAACGAAAAAUUACACAUAAGAAAUUACAAAUAAAAUAUAAUUACGGUCGUACUUUCAACUAGAUCAUCAAUGAAUUUUCACAAUCAUUGAAUAAUCCUUUGUGUGAUUAUGUUUCUUAACAAAUUCUACAUGAUAUUGCAAAAAAAAAAAAAAAAAUUUUUUUUUAUAACUGUCAAUAUUAAAAGAAGCAUAAAUAAAAAGUAAAAACAAGUUUACAAUCUAAUAAACAAAAAUAAAAUAAGAUAUUCUAAUUAUCGAUUUCCAAUUUAAUAAAUUGUUCAUGAUAUUCCAUCUCUUCAAUGCCCACUCCAUAUAGUUGGUCUCCCAAGUGUAGAACAUAGCCAAUUUUGUAUAUAAAUUAAAGCCUCAAUUAUUUUGGGUGUAUUAACUCCUAAAUGAAUCAAAAACUCGCCCUACGGCACUAAAUGUCGACUCCAAAGCAACAAGAGAGAGAGGUUUGCAAGUAGAUCCCUUGCAAUCUUAAACAAAAUUGCAUAUCUUGGACAAUUUAACUUAAAAGUUGAAUUACUAGUUUUCAGUGGGGUCCAUUAGUUAUCUCUGAAUCUCAUCUUUUAACAAAUUAGCAUUGCUACUUCUUCCUUUUUUUUUUUUAAAAAAAAAAAAAUACCCAAAUCAAAAUUGUUGGACUCAUCCCAUGAUCAUCUGCAUAAGCCUCAACCAAAUUGUCAUUAAAGUCAUGAAUACCACCAUCUCCAUCAUUGGAUGCACUAUGCCAUCCUUUAUACCUAUUUUACAACUCGCGAUAAAAUCUUGAUUUCAUUUUUUCGAUUCAACCAAGCUAUUAUCAUAAAAGUGACCAAUACAAUAAACUACUUCCAACUUGUACCGAGGAUUCAAUCACAAUAGCUCUAAUAUCUGUAUUUUGUUCAUUUUAUCAACAAUCCCCCAAUACUUGUCGAAUUCACUCUUCAUGUUUUUUGCCAUAUCACUAAAUAAAAGAUCUUGCUAUGCUAAAUUUCUUCAAAAUUUGUUGAAUAUUACGAACUUCUUAAAAGUACAAAUUCGAGGUCACAUUCAAAGAUUCACUAAAAUUUUAAGUGAUUUUGUGAAAGGUUUCUAGAUACUUAAUAAUUUCCUCAUAUUUUUCCCAAUUGUCUCUUGUAAUUACCUCCUAUUUCCUUCCCAUUCUCACGCUCAUCAAAAUAUAUGCAAUAAAACCCAUAUUCCUUUGCCAUCCGAUCUAAUAGUUUCUCAAACUUAAGUGCACCAUCCAACAUCAAGUAUGUUGCAUUCCACCGAGUAAGCUAAUUUUUGCACUAAUUUCUUCUUUUAUCACAAAUCUUGAAUUUUGCUAAUCUUGAAGGGGAUGAUCCAAAAUAUUUCACGGCAUUCGUAUACUUGCUAUUGCCACGUUAAACUCUUUCAACUCAUCUUUUACCAUUACAUUCAAAAUAUGUGCACACCUUACAUGCGUAAGGGACCCACAUAAUGCCAUCCUAUCAACUUUCCCAUUCUUUAAUAUAUUUUUCGUAUUCAAUAGCCCUAUCAUUUGCACUUGUAUUAACAGUAGUAAUUAUGGAUACAUGCUCUAUUUUCUAGUCAAGCCAACAUUUUUCAGCAAGUUUUACUAUUGUUUUUCCUUUAUGGUUACGAACUAUCGAAACUCAAUAUCCUCUUAUUUAACACCCAGUUUUUGUCAAUAAAAUGGGACGUGAUAACCAUGUAAUUAAUAUAUUUAUUUAUGUCUUGCAAUUUGUGGUAAGACACAACUCUUGCUUAUUAGCAAUAAGCUUACCUUUCAAUAAUUCUCUCUUCACUAUAAAGUUUUAGCACGUCCCUAUUAACUAUUCUACGAGAUGGAAUAUCUGACUUAGGGCAUUCAUAUCCUAUAUAUUUUCUAAACCCAACACCAUCAAUAAAGCUAACGGCAAUUCAUUGACAAUAAUCAUUUUCACCAUUGCCUUCCUACAUGCUUCUUUGUUAAACACCAUAGCACCAAUAUCGGCAAUGCCACCGUUACCACCAUCAUUGUCAUUUAAUCAUCUCGUUAGUACCUUGUCUUUAAUCUAUUUGGUACUCUUGUAUGCUUUGCAAGUGUUUCCACAAGUUAGAAGUUUUAGUUUCAUUGGAAUCAUGAGCAUAAGAUUCCCACAUAGCUACAUUCUGCCCUUUUUCCCUUGUAUCUUAGUAAAAUGUUACCAUACUUUCGAUCUCACAUUCAGGCUUCUUUUAUUUUCAACAAUCUCUGCGUUCAUCUACGUGACAAAUAGUAGAAAAUACGUAAAACAAAAAACUGAUUCUAUACUAUGAAAUCAAUGGUUUUCAUGGCAACAAUCUUCAAACUUCUUAAGUUGUUCAUCCUAAUAGAAUUCAUUUCUUCCAAAGUAUACUUCAUUCUUCAUUUUGUAAUUAUAAAGAUUCAACUGAAAAAGAAUUCUAUGUUGGGAAUUGGAAAAUGGAAAUCAACUUCUAUUGUAAGUCCUUUGUAAAGAAAUAGUUGCAAAUUUUUUCCAAAUUGUAAAGACUCUUUAUCCAAAUUUUAAAGACUCUUUAGCAUGUCAUUAAUCAAAUCAAGCUAUAUCUUCGUACUCGUAAUCUACUGACUGCAAUGGGUUGUGAAAAACAUUCAGAUUGCAAUCUCUUUAGUCUUUAACGCUUAAUAAUCUAACUUAUACUGUAUAUACUUAAAGUUUACACAAUAUAAAUAUUGUCUUCUCAGCAUUAAUAUAGAUUUCAUUAAUUUAAAUAGCAUAAUGUUUCAGCAUCAACUGAUAAUGAAUUUUUGCAUACAAGAUAAAAAUAAAGUCAUAAAUUAUCACGUUGUUCAAUAAAUCCUAUAAUUGAAUUCAGUGAAUGAAGACCAAACAAGGCAACAACCAAACAAUCCAACUCCAAGCUCAAAUUUAGAUUGCUCUAGAUUUACUAAACAUUAUAUAUUUGAUAUAGGAGCAUACAAAUUGAUAAAGAACAAUAAGAAGAAAGGGGAUCAAAAGGAAGAAAUGAGGGCAAGAGAAAACUUUUAUUCAUAUAAUUAUGGUCUGUUUAUAAACAUUGUCCUAAGUCUCUUUAUAUAGAGGACUUCGAAAUUAAAUAAACUUCCUAGUAUCAAUUUGGUAUCGGAGCAAUGAGAAGAAACGGGAUCAAAUAGAAGAAUUGAGGGCAAGAGAGAUAGUUUUAUUCAUAUAAUUCAGGUCUGUUUGUAAACAUUCCCCUAAAUCUGUUUAUAUAGAGAAAGACUUUGAAAUUAAAUAAAUUUCAUAUCUAAACAAACUUGAAAUAAAAGAUAACAAUUGUCAUAAUCAAACUACUAUAAUAUAGAUAAACUGGAAUUCUAUUAAUUCUUAGUUUUUCGUCUUGAAUAGACUUUUAGUUGUUUCCUUGUUGUGUCAAUAUUGCUCCAGUCCAGAAUUCGUCGAUUAAAGUUUAAUUCUUAAAAAAAUCAUACAACAGUUUAUAUAUAAAAAAAUACAUCUAGGUAUUUUAAUUCAAACUCGAUUAUCUUCAAUAAUGUCAAGGUGAUCUCGAGAAGAUCUUGAUUCUUGACAUCAUAUCAAUUUUGAUAAAAUGAGAGAUUUGAGUUCUUGCGAAAGAUCAAAUAGAAGAUAUAUUUUUCCCUUUUGGGGUUUGCACUAAAAUUAUGAAUUUGUAAAGUAUUUAUAGAAUUAUUUAGAACGUGGAUUUUGAUAUUUUGAAUCUUGAUUACGGAGUAGGUUUUCCUUACAAAGGAUAGAGUCAGAAUUGUAGAAGUGUAUCAAAAGGUGGUGUGAGAUAAUUCUUGACCUAGGACUUUAUAGCCUGUUUGGUAUGGAUUAUUUUAAUCUAAGUCAACGUCAAACAAUCAAUAUUAACCACAUCUUUCAUGGUUUCCAUAACUUUUCAACCAUAAAUUUCAAAAACUUCUAUCACGAUCUACUGAAAAAUAUAAUUUUAAUCCCUACCAAACACCCUUUUAAUGUCAAAAUAUGAGGACCUGGUAUAUCUUGGUGCAAUGCACCUAUGUAAUAUAAAUUUUGGGAAAAUCAUCUGUUCUCAUGGCUGCACUGAAAACCAGAUCGAGCCACUUAGUAAAGGAAUAGGAGCCUGGAAAGAUUGUCCACCUCUAGGAAAUUGUACUUCAAUUUUGUUCAAUUGGGUAACUAAAAUUUUUCAUUUCAAUUGGAUAAUUUGAUUUUAAUCAAAUAACUAGGUUUUGAUUUUAUUUAAAUUAAAGUAACUUCGUCCAAUUCCACCAACAAAAAUUGAUGACGUGGCUAUUUAUAAAUUUUGGUCAUCAUACAUAACCGUCAGAUGCUAAUGGGAAAUAUGUACAACUUAAGUGAAAUCAAUGACGACCGUCGUUUUUUAAUUGUCACGUCAUUGAUAUUGUCUGUCCAAGUGAUAGAAUCAUAGAAAUCCAUUUGAAAUCAAAUUAAAGUGUAGUUAUACAAUUAAACAAACAUCAGUAUCUAGGUAUUGACUCCAGAUGAAAAUGUAGUUACCUCAAAUGGAAUUUAUCCAUGUAAAAACCUAGUAAGAAUGAAAUAUGCCUUUGGAGAAUCUAUAUUUCUAAUAUAUAUCAAUUAUCUAGGAGUAACAAAACAUCAUUCCUCUUUUGUUUGCUAAUACAAGGUGAUUGAUGUUUGUUUAGGUACAGCCUUGUAGGUUUCAAAAACUCGACUUUUCCACAUAGUAAUUGCUACUGGAGUAUACAUAUGUGCAAUUGAGUUUUCUUAUCCAAAAUAUUGUUUACUUGCUAGAUAUAUAUGUCGAAAAGUGUGCUAAAUCACCAUUGCUGCAAACAAUCAAGUUCUUUUGGGGCUUUUUGGAGGCUUUCACCUCCAUAAGUAUUUGUUUUUUCCCAAGAAGUUUCGAUUCCAUUGUUAAGUGGUCUCAAGUGAUGUUUUGUCACAUAUAUUAGUUUCGAGUUUUUUGUAUCUUUUCUUUUACCCAUCUUUUUCUUUGUUACUUGAUGAAGAUUGUUGAUUAUUAGCAUUAUAUGAGUUAACAAUCAAUUAAUAAGAUAAUGGGUAUCAUGAGAUUUUAGGUGUUAUAUGUUAAGCCACUUUAUGUAAAAGCUUAAGUUAUUCAUAUUUUGUCUUUGCCUAUCAUGCACACAUUUUGAUAAAUGCAUUUUUUUGUGGGCAGCAUUGCCGCCUCUCGUAUAACGUAGAACCAUUUUUGUCUGAAAGCUUAAGCCAUUAUAAGGGGAUACAUUUAUUUAUUCAAGUUUUAUUUUCAAAGUUAUGGAAUAUAUGUAGUGUCUUGAAAUUAAAAAUGUCAAUUUCCUUGUAAUUCCUCAUGGUUUGAACUCCGUGCAACGGAUAAGCGUAUUAAAGAGCCAUACAAAAGUGCAAUUUUUUUUUCUUCGUUUACUUUGGCUGUAAUGACCCGGACCUCUCGUCCAAGCCGUUAGUUUACGUACUGUCCGCUUUGGGUGGCCACUUAUCCCUCACGACUUUUCUUCGCGUCCCCCAGGAUUCGAACUCUUGACCUCUACAUAAAAGAGAUUUAAGUUGAAUCAUUAUAUUAAUUGGAAAAAAUGCGCGCGUUUUUUUGUAACGACCCGGACCUCUUGCCCAAGCCAUUAGCUUACGUCCUGUCUACUUUGGGUGGGCCUUGCGCCCACUUAUCCCUCACGGCUUUUCUUCGCGUCCCCCAGGAUUCGAACUCUUGAUCUCUACAUAAAAGAGACUUAAGUUGAAUGCUCUAAAACAGACAGGACGUAAGCUAACGGCUUGGGCGAGAGGUCCGAGUCGUUACAUUGACCCAUCUUAUGAAUGAACCAUUGCAAUAUGCAUGUCACACACUUGACACUGUACUCUUAUUAGAGCUUGGAGUGUCAUGCUGAGUAUUAUUGAUAUUAGCUUGCUCCUGCUCUUAUACUGUUAUGAUUUUUAUGACCAGCAUUUUUAUUUUCAUUUAUUUAUUUGUUUAUUUAAUUUUUUGUUUCAUUUAUGUAUUGCUUUCUAUCUUUCCAGUUCAGUUAGAUUAAUGCUGGUUACACUUGUAAGUAACCUCAGACUGGGCUGAGAUGUUUUUUGGUUGACAAAUAUUAUUUGUAGAACAUCUUUAAUAUGCUGACUGGAUGAUUUAGAUUAAUAUUUGUUUCAUUUGCACAGGGUUCCACAAUCUCCUGAUUCAGCUGACCGUUCCCCAUCUCCAAGGUAAGUAUUUUGAUCAUGAUAACCUCUGGUGGUCUCUUCUACUUAAUUUUUUCUUGCUCCUUAAGAAUAAGCUUUUGGUUCCCUUUAGCAGCAGGAGGCCUUCCAGGCCAAUUAGCAAAUCCUUUUCCAAUUCUAAAAGUUAUUCUGAGUGGAUUUCCAUUUGAUGUCAGAGUGUGCUCAUAAUUUUGAUAGAUUGUGAUUUGUUAUCUGGUUUUCAUUUUAGUGAAAGACGGAGGUCAAGAAGUAUAUCUGGAUCACCUCCACCGAGAGGACGGUCCAUUUCCUCUGAGAGGCCACGUCGAUCUUCACCAAGACUGUCUGGGACACCGAGGAGGAGGCAUUCGCCUCGUCUCUCUCCUCCACCAAGGUAUAGGUCAACCCGCACUAGGAGAAGAUCUAUAUCGCAUUCAAGGCACAGGUCUCCUUCUCCCACACGAUAUAGGGUUCGUUCCCCUCUGCGUCGCAGGUCACGAUCUCCUUUGCGACGUAGAUCAAGAUCUCCCGUGUGGCGUAGGUCAAGGACACCAAUACGAAGAUCACCAGUGCAAUACAGGUCCCGUUCACCCGUGCGACGCAGAUCACCACCUGUGCGACGCAGAUCACCACCUGUGAGACGUAGAUCACCGUCUCCUAUCCCACGACGAUCACUGUCUCCUAUGCGACGACGAUCACCUUCCCCCCCUCGUCGUAGGUUGCCAUCCUUUCGUCGUAAGUCACCAUCCCCUCAUCGUAGGUCACCAUCUCCUGUAAGAAGGCAGCACCGACGAUCACCUUCAACUCCACGGCGCCAGUCUAUAUCCCCAGUUCGGCACAGGUUACCAGUGCCCAGUCGAAGAAGAUCUAUAACACCUGCCAAACGAAGGUCUCCUUCAGUGCAAGAAUCUAUUUCCCCCUCUCCCAGUUCCCUUUCACCAGUCAGGAGGCGAUCACUGAAAAGCCAGAAAUCACCUCUACGAUCUCCCAGAGAAGCAAUCAGGUACUUUAGAGCAUGUUAGCUGCUUUCGAUCUUUAAGAAUUUUUUGAUAUUUGUAUUUUAUUUUGCUUUCAAGCGUAUGGUUUGCAUGUGUUUUUGUUACUGUUACAGUUUAGAUGCUUUAGUGCACAUCUGCAGCAAUGAUAAUGGCGGAACAGACAUUUUUUUUUUUUUAAAAUUAGGAUGCCUAGGAAUACGACAAAAACAAAUCAAUUGAGAUGACACACCCCUUUUAAGCAACUGUGAUAUGUCACGACAGUGUAAUGGUUCAUAAAAAAGAGAACAGGACGUUAUCUACAUAAAAGAACACUGAAGAGACAACACAAUGAAAUUAUGUGCUUAAGACUGUUGGCAUCCUUCCACAUAACACCUAAGCACAGCCCAUAUGAACCAUAACUCAACCAAUCUACUCCAGUUAUUAAAAAAAACCUCGUGUCUUCUUUAUAGAAUAAAAGGAACAUGCUUGAAAUACAGACCUCUAAACGAGGAGGUGCCUCAAAUGGCAAGAUCAUUAAUUUGUUUAUCCAAUAUUCUACCUUUUUGCUGGCACUUCAUUCUUAACUGUAGAUAAAUAGUUCAUUGAAUUGCAACAGAACUUUCCUAUAGCUUUAGUCGGAGGGCAGAAAUGUGAGUUAAUUUUUUUUCUGUAAGGUCCAUUUCCUAGUUUGAAAAGAAUUCAUAUUUUUGUUUUUAUUGUUUAAGGGACAGGGAAACAUGCAAUAUAUCAUGAUGAUGUGGCAGAUAAAUGAAAAUAUUUGAGUGUUGGUAACAGCCACACAAGAAAAAAGUGUGCUCUUUGUUUAAUGAGGUUGAUCAUGAUAUUUCCAGUAUUGCCACUCUCCUUUUUCUUCCCUCUGGUUUUAUCUCUGCUUUUUCCUUUGAUCUCUUGGAAGAACUGGGCUUUCAAAUUAGAGAAACUGGGGUAGAGAGCUGAGAUCUCUAUUAUAUAUCUGGUGAAUUUUGCACGAUUUUGUGUUAUGAGAUGACCAUCUGUACUAUUUCGACUUAUUGCUCUAUUUCCAUUCAAACUGGAUUCCCAUCUGCAUGCACUUUCCUAGUUUGCAGUAGCUGUAAAAAUUUUGAUGCAUAAAAUUCCUGCUGCUGGGGAAUAUGCAUAGAAAGCAGGCUUACUUGAUCUUUGAUCUCUCUAAACUCUAAUCCAAACUCUGAACUGUAGGCCUCUUGUUUCUUUGAGAUCACCGCAAAGGGACAUGCUGGAUCGAAAUGACCAACGUGGAAGAGUGCUGGAUCCGUCUCCUCUGCACAAGUCUCCAUCUGCUUCCGAAGUGUCUGGGGAAGGAAAUCAUAUUGAACGGCAGAGGUUCAAACCUCUAUCUAUAUCUACCUUUUGGUUUUUUUAUCACAUUUUCUUGAGGUGUAACAUUGUAAGUCACAUUUUAUUUGGAUAGGUCUAGUAGUCCUCAUCGUAGUCCUUAUCAAAGAAGGGAAAGGAUCAUUCUUCCUGAGAGUCCAAACCCUUUACCGAAAGGAAUGGGAUCCAAACCUCAUCCUGAUAGUUCUGGGACAAGUGCUGAUGACAGGUAAACCUUGUAUGCUAGGUUUUGUUUGAAAAGUUCAUUGUUCUCGAACGUGGUAUUUUUUACUCUAAAUUUCUGAGUUGUGCAUGGUUUUAUUUUUUAUUUAGAGAGAUUGGAAAGCUUAAACAUAGAUCUUUAGAGAAAAAUUCUCCAUCACAUGAUCGGCAUAAAGAUUCUUUUGGCUUUGAUGAUCAUGUGAAGUCAAGAAAUCCUCGUCAACUGCCAGACAGGUUUGCUGUUGCUGUGGUACAUUCUGUCUCAGUAGUCUAUAGUUUGUGUAUAACUGAUCUAAUUUUUGUAUUUUUUGUUUUUAUUUGAAUAAACCAGUGAAAAGUUAGCUGAAAGAGUGGAUCACAUAAUAAAUCCCGAGAAACAAGAAUCAUUAGUGAUUCGUAAAAGCGCCAUAUUAAGAGAGGAAGGAAAGGGAUCAUAUGUUGACAAUGAUUACAGAGCUGUUGAUAAGAAUACAUCUGUGUAUGACGAUACCAAGGGCAGUGGUCGACAUUCAGAACUUGAAGUCUUGCCUAAUUUGUCUGGGGCAGACAAGCUGAAUGCUCGAAGUCGUUCAGUGGGAUUCAACUCUGAGGAAACUGACAGGCAUAAAACUAAAAUUAAAGAAAAGGGAAAGCACAAGAGGUCAGAGAGACAAGAGGUGGAAUCAGAUGACUAUUCUAGCUAUGAUUCUUAUGAGAAGAGGAAGGAGGCUAAGAGGAGGAAAAAAGAGGAGAAGAAAUUGAAAAAGGAGGAGAGGCAUCGACGGCGGGAGGAACGGCGCCGCAGAAAAAAGGAAAAGCAUGCAGAGAAGCUGAAAUUGAAGUCGCUUGACGCUGGUAGUCCAUCUUUAGAUAUUGAGAUUGAUCAUGAUCGUCAUGCUUCUUAUGAUGACGGUUAUAGAAGGCGGGAAACGCAUACAAGUGACAUGGAGGAAACAGAAUCUGAGCAGAAAAAGCUUGAGAUAGAGUUGAGGGAAAAGGCUCUUGAGUCGCUUCGAGCAAAGAAGGGCGCUCAGAAUUAAAUUUUUUUGCUGCUCUAGAAUAUUUCACUUUUAUUUUCUGUUAUAUGAUCCUGUUAUGAGUUCCUGUUUCUGUCCUAGACCUAUUCUGUUUCGGAUGAAUGUAUUCUUGGUGGCUAUUUAAUGUAAUGUGUCUUUACUGCUGGCAGCUGAAUGGAUAAAUGAGGAUUUCCUGAGCUAGUGUCUUGAGUGCAACUUUAUGCUGACUUUCCUGCUAAAUUUGCUGGUAAUAUUUGUCUUCCCUUCACUGGGAAUAUGUUUAUGUUAUAUUUACACGACACAAAAGUGUG